GGGGAACAACAGCUGGAAACGGCUGCUAAUACCCCAUAGGCUGAGGAGCAAAAGGAGGAAUCCGCCCAAGGAGGGGCUCGCGUCUGAUUAGUUAGUUGGUGAGGCAAUGGCUUACCAAGGCGACGAUCAGUAGCUGGUCCGAGAGGAUGAUCAGCCACACUGGGACUGAGACACGGCCCAGACUCCUACGGGAGGCAGCAGUGGGGAAUUUUCCGCAAUGGGCGAAAGCCUGACGGAGCAAUGCCGCGUGAAGGCAGAAGGCCCACGGGUCAUGAACUUCUUUUCUCGGAGAAGAAAAAAUGACGGUAUCUGAGGAAUAAGCAUCGGCUAACUCUGUGCCAGCAGCCGCGGUAAGACAGAGGAUGCAAGCGUUAUCCGGAAUGAUUGGGCGUAAAGCGUCUGUAGGUGGCUUUUCAAGUCCGCCGUCAAAUCCCA
rnacentral:rRNA from 1 species